AUAGAAGAAUGGACCAGGAGGCCGAGGGCAAAAAAGAAGGAACAGAAUGUAGACUGUAGUAUUUAUAUUCAACACAAGGUGGUGAUCUCCUAGUAUUAUCAGUGGAACGCAACAACAGGAAGUCAUGUUAGGUGAAGACAGGAAGUGAUGUCAGGUACAGACAGGAAGUGAUGUAAGAGUAUAAAGACAGGAAGUUCCAGGUGAAAGGUGAGUCGUGAGGAAUAAAAGAGAACACAUUACUGGGCCUGGCAGCAGAGUCACUGUGACGUCUUUUACCUUCAGUAGAUGAUAAUACAGUUGGAGUAUUUAGAAAGAACUCUACAAGGACGUCAUGAUGGAGAAUCAGCCGCCCCUCACAUCACCGGAUGGAUCCAGUAAUGGGAACCCACCAGAGAGAUGUCCUCGUCCUUUGUAUUCCCAGCUAACAGUGGGGCCCAAACUGUAGGGUGGUGCACAUUAUUGUAAAGGAGAGAGCAGUACGAAGGGUCCACCUAGAUCCCCCAUCAUCUGAUAAACACAUAGAAAC